rnacentral:hammerhead_ribozyme from 1 species
AUCCAGCUGACGAGUCCCAAACAGGAUGAAAAAAGCAUCAAACUGGAU